AUAAAACGCCCAUAAAUUGCUUUUAUUCAGCUGUGUGUACAAAACUCCACGGACUUCUAGGUGACUUGACUUUUGAGCAAGAACUUUUUUUUUUUUUCCCCGAGGAUGUGGAUACACAUGAGCACAUGGACAUGCUGUGUUUGCAGCUAUUGCAUCAUACUUCUUGAGGUUCUGAAGAAGUUUUGAGGUCCUCCAUGGAAGAUGAACUGAUGGGCAGGUAAUAAGAAGAACCAUUCUAACAUGGAAAAAAAUACAAGACUUUAACAUGGCAUCUGUGAAUCCUCAUGUCUCCGUGAUGAUCUGGAGAACUUGGUCACUGGCACAGGAUGAAGGAGUAAGCCCACCUGUUUUUAGUCUAUGCAGGACUUCAGACUGUCAUGUAUCAGUAACACACU